rnacentral:rRNA from 1 species
GGGGGGGGGCCUAACACAUGCAAGUCGAGCGGUAGCACAGAGAGCUUGCUCUCGGGUGACGAGCGGCGGACGGGUGAGUAAUGUCUGGGAAACUGCCUGAUGGAGGGGGAUAACUACUGGAAACGGUAGCUAAUACCGCAUAACGUCGCAAGACCAAAGUGGGGGACCUUCGGGCCUCAUGCCAUCAGAUGUGCCCAGAUGGGAUUAGCUAGUAGGUGGGGUAACGGCUCACCUAGGCGACGAUCCCUAGCUGGUCUGAGAGGAUGACCAGCCACACUGGAACUGAGACACGGUCCAGACUCCUACGGGAGGCAGCAGUGGGGAAUAUUGCACAAUGGGCGCAAGCCUGAUGCAGCCAUGCCGCGUGUGUGAAGAAGGCCUUCGGGUUGUAAAGCACUUUCAGCGGGGAGGAAGGCGUUAAGGUUAAUAACCUUGUCGAUUGACGUUACCCGCAGAAGAAGCACCGGCUAACUCCGUGCCAGCAGCCGCGGUAAUACGGAGGGUGCAAGCGUUAAUCGGAAUUACUGGGCGUAAAGCGCACGCAGGCGGUCUGUCAAGUCGGAUGUGAAAUCCCCGGGCUCAACCUGGGAACUGCAUUCGAAACUGGCAGGCUAGAGUCUUGUAGAGGGGGGUAGAAUUCCAGGUGUAGCGGUGAAAUGCGUAGAGAUCUGGAGGAAUACCGGUGGCGAAGGCGGCCCCCUGGACAAAGACUGACGCUCAGGUGCGAAAGCGUGGGGAGCAAACAGGAUUAGAUACCCUGGUAGUCCACGCCGUAAACGAUGUCGAUUUGGAGGUUGUGCCCUUGAGGCGUGGCUUCCGGAGCUAACGCGUUAAAUCGACCGCCUGGGGAGUACGGCCGCAAGGUUAAAACUCAAAUGAAUUGACGGGGGCCCGCACAAGCGGUGGAGCAUGUGGUUUAAUUCGAUGCAACGCGAAGAACCUUACCUGGUCUUGACAUCCACAGAACUUUCCAGAGAUGGAUUGGUGCCUUCGGGAACUGUGAGACAGGUGCUGCAUGGCUGUCGUCAGCUCGUGUUGUGAAAUGUUGGGUUAAGUCCCGCAACGAGCGCAACCCUUAUCCUUUGUUGCCAGCGGUCCGGCCGGGAACUCAAAGGAGACUGCCAGUGAUAAACUGGAGGAAGGUGGGGAUGACGUCAAGUCAUCAUGGCCCUUACGACCAGGGCUACACACGUGCUACAAUGGCAUAUACAAAGAGAAGCGACCUCGCGAGAGCAAGCGGACCUCAUAAAGUAUGUCGUAGUCCGGAUUGGAGUCUGCAACUCGACUCCAUGAAGUCGGAAUCGCUAGUAAUCGUAGAUCAGAAUGCUACGGUGAAUACGUUCCCGGGCCUUGUACACACCGCCCGUCACACCAUGGGAGUGGGUUGCAAAAGAAGUAGGUAGCUUAACCUUCGGGAGGGCGCUUACCACUUUGUGAUUCAUGACUGGGG